rnacentral:rRNA from 1 species
GGGGAAGUUUCCGCAAUGGGGGCAACCCUGACGGAGCAAUACCGCGUGGGGGAGGAAGGCCUACUGGUUGUAAACCCCUUUUCUCAGGGAAGAACACAAUGACGGUACCNNNNNAAUCAGCCUCGGCUAACUCCGUGCCAGCAGCCGCGGUAAUACGGGAGUGGCAAGCGUUAUCCGGAAUUAUUGGGGGUAAAGNNUCUGCAGGUGGUUUUAUAAGUCCACUGUUAAAUCUUAAGGCUUAACCUUAAGUCUGCAGUGGAAACUGUAAGACUUGAGUAUAGUAAGGGUAGAGNNNNNUUCCAGUGAAGCGGUGAAAUGCGUAGAUACUGGAAAGAACACCGAUGGCGAAGGCACUCUACUAGGCUAUUACUGACACUCAGAGACGAAAGCUAGGGGAGCGAAUGGGAUUAGAUACCCCAGUAGUC